AUACGUAGGGGGCGAGCGUUGUCCGGAAUCACUGGGCGUAAAGGGUGCGUAGGCGGCUAUUUAAGUCCUGUGUGAAAGGCCCCGGCUCAACCGGGGAGUGCCAUGGGAAACUGGGUGGCUUGAGUGCUGGAGAGGGUUGCGGAAUUCCCGGCGUAGCGGUGAAAUGCGUAGAUUUCGGGAGGAACACCAGUGGCGAAGGCGGCAACCUGGACAGUAACUGACGCUGAGGCACGACAGCUGGGGUAGCGAACAGGAUUAGAUACCCUGGUAGUCCCAGCCGUAAACGAUGAGUGCUAGGUGUUGCGGGUAUCGACCCCUGCAGUGCCGCAGUUAACGCAAUAAGCACUCCGCCUGGGGAGUACGGCCGCAAGGCUGAA
rnacentral:rRNA from 1 species